AUCUAAGAGCUGACGAGUCCUUAAUAGGACGAAACGCGCGUCAAUCUGGAU
rfam:Schistosoma mansoni strain Puerto Rico chromosome 1, complete genome